rnacentral:rRNA from 1 species
CCUACGGGGGGCAGCAGUGAGGAAUAUUGGUCAAUGGACGAGAGUCUGAACCAGCCAAGUAGCGUGAAGGAUGACUGCCCUAUGGGUUGUAAACUUCUUUUAUAUGGGAAUAAAACGUUCCACGUGUGGGAUUUUGUAUGUACCAUAUGAAUAAGGAUCGGCUAACUCCGUGCCAGCAGCCGCGGUAAUACGGAGGAUCCGAGCGUUAUCCGGAUUUAUUGGGUUUAAAGGGAGCGUAGGUGGAUUGUUAAGUCAGUUGUGAAAGUUUGCGGCUCAACCGUAAAAUUGCAGUUGAAACUGUCAGUCUUGAGUACAGUAGAGGUGGGCGGAAUUCGUGGUGUAGCGGUGAAAUGCUUAGAUAUCACGAAGAACUCCGAUUGCGAAGGCAGUUCACUGGACUGCAACUGACACGGAGGCUCGAAAGUGUGGGUAUCAAACAGGAUUAGAUACCCUAGUAGUC